UAGGGAAUCUUCCGCAAUGGGCGAAAGCCUGACGGAGCAACGCCGCGUGAGUGAUGAAGGUCUUCGGAUCGUAAAACUCUGUUAUUAGGGAAGAACAAAUGAGUAAGUAACUAUGCACGUCUUGACGGUACCUAAUCAGAAAGCCACGGCUAACUACGUGCCAGCAGCCGCGGUAAUACGUAGGUGGCAAGCGUUAUUCGGAAUUAUUGGGCGUAAAGCGCGCGUAGGCGGUUUUUUAAGUCUGAUGUGAAAGCCCACGGCUCAACCGUGGAAGGUCAUUGGAAACUGGAAAACUUGAGUGCAGAAGAGGAAAGUGGAAUUCCAUGUGUAGCGGUGAAAUGCGCAGAGAUAUGGAGGAACACCAGUGGCGAAGGCGACUUUCUGGUCUGUAACUGACGCUGAUGUGCGAAAGCGUGGGGAUCAAACAGG
rnacentral:rRNA from 1 species